AGGCAGUAAACAAACAUCCUAUAUAUGUCGAGAAAGGAGAAACACGACAAAGAGGGAAACAUGAAGGCGACAUGGAAGAAGGUUCUAUGGAUUUCUCUGUUUUAUGUUUUAACUCGAGGCAAAUAUGGUCUCGUGCAUUUACAAUUUCUUAUAUGCUUAGUAGAACAAUGUAGCUAAAAGGCUAAAAGAUAAACCUUUUCCAUUUAGUCUUCUUGUUAUCAUUUUUUGGUUUAUGAUUUUGUGUUUUAAUUUCCUAUGGUACAUAAACAAUUAUAUAUAAUUGAAAAACCAGGAUAUGUUGUUAGGUCAACUUACAUAGCCUUUUGAAAGGCUCACGAAUUGAAGAACAAUUAUUAGAAAAUAGUUAUUUGAAAAGUGAAAUAGAUUUUAGGAGAUGGUAAGGUGAGAAAGCCCCCUCACUCUUAAAACUACAAAAAAAAAAGCCCGCUCAGUUUUGAGUUUUUUGACAUACAUAUUUUCAAAUUUCAACCUAUAAAUUUCACAUAAAAUUUUUAUCUGGUCAUAUGGUUUAAACUUUUGGUUCAGCUAUUCAUAAGUUAUAAGAUUAAUUAUAUAUAUCAUAAACAUUUAAUAUAUUCUUUAUGUUUUAAAAUUAUAAACAAAUAUUAUAAUGAUAUAGAUAAAUAUAUGUAUUGGCUUUCUAUAUAUUUUGGGGCAAUGUUAGAGGACUUACCUAAACACCUAUACUACAGUCAAACUUGCAAAUAAAGGGAUUGUUUAUAUAAGUCUAGUUUAGAUCGUACCGAUCCGGUUUGGUUUGGUUCGGUAAACGUUCGAGUUGUUUGGUUCAAAAGAAAGAAAACCGAUAAGCUUACUUUCGUUGGAUUUGGGCCGGU
rnacentral:lncRNA from 1 species